CCUACGGGUGGCAGCAGUGAGGAAUAUUGGUCAAUGGGCGCAAGCCUGAACCAGCCAAGUCGCGUGAGGGAUGACGGUCCUAUGGAUUGUAAACCUCUUUUGUCGGGGAGCAAGGCCCGCCACGUGUGGCGGGAAGGAGAGUACCCGAAGAAAAAGCAUCGGCUAACUCCGUGCCAGCAGCCGCGGUAAUACGGAGGAUGCGAGCGUUAUCCGGAUUUAUUGGGUUUAAAGGGUGCGUAGGCGGAAUGCCAAGUCAGCGGUAAAAUCGCGGGGCUCAACCUCGCUCCGCCGUUGAAACUGGCGUUCUUGAGUGGGCGAGAAGUAUGCGGAAUGCGUGGUGUAGCGGUGAAAUGCAUAGAUAUCACGCAGAACUCCGAUUGCGAAGGCAGCUUACUAAACUGCCACUGACAUUGAUGCUCGAAAGUGUGGGUAUCAAACAGGAUUAGAUACCCCAGUAGUC
rnacentral:rRNA from 1 species